AGUUAAAAUCUUGAACAACAUAUGCUACAUAGUGUAGGGAAUGAAAUACCCCCUGGAGAUUUCUGCAACCUACAAUCUUUAAUAAAUAAACUAACUGCACUUAAAUGUACUUUGGUUUGGAUUGGAUUUAUUUUUCAGUAAAAGUACAUGUCCAUAAAAUGCAUAAAACAACCAUGCCAAGGUUGGCACAGUAAAACAUAAAACCUAUUUCCAUUGUGGUCCUCUGAGAUGGAGAA